CAAAAUGUAGCUUAAUCAAAGCACUUCGCUUACACCGAACUCAUGCCAGUGAAACCCUGGUCAUUUUGAG
rnacentral:tRNA from 1 species